rnacentral:rRNA from 1 species
AUACGUAGGUGACAAGCGUUAUCCGGAUUUACUGGGCGUAAAGGGCGUGUAGGCGGUCUUGCAAGUAAGAAGUGAAAUUCCUGAGCUCAACUCGGGCGCUGCUUCUGAAACUGCAGGACUUGAGUGCUGGAGGGGAUAGCGGAAUUCCUAGUGGAGCGGUAAAAUGCGCAGAUAUUAGGAAGAACACCGGUGGCGAAGGCGGCUAUCUGGACAGUAACUGACGCUGAGGCGCGAAAGCGUGGGGAGCAAACAGGAUUAGAUACCCUGGUAGUCCACGCCGCAAACGAUGAAUACUAGGUGUAGGGGGUAUCGACUCCCUCUGUGCCGCAGUUAACACAAUAAGUAUUCCGCCUGGGGAGUACGGCCGCAAGGUUGAAACUCAAAUGAAUGGACGGGG